rnacentral:rRNA from 1 species
GGGGAAUCUUCCGCAAUGGGCGAAAGCCUGACGGAGCAAUACCGCGUGAGGGAGGAAGGCUCUUGGGUCGUAAACCUCUUUUCUCAGGGAAGAAGAAAGUGACGGUACCUGAGGAAUCAGCAUCGGCUAACUCCGUGCCAGCAGCCGCGGUAAUACGGAGGAUGCAAGCGUUAUCCGGAAUGAUUGGGCGUAAAGCGUCCGCAGGUGGCAGUUCAAGUCUGCUGUUAAAGAUCGGGGCUCAACCCCGAAGUGGCGGUGGAAACUGAACAGCUAGAGUGCGGUGGGGGCAGAGGGAAUUCCUGGUGUAGCGGUGAAAUGCGUAGAGAUCAGGAAGAACACCGGUGGCGAAAGCGCUCUGCUAGGCCGCAACUGACACUCAGGGACGAAAGCUAGGGGAGCGAAUGGGAUUAGAUACCCCAG